rnacentral:misc_RNA from 1 species
AGCAGCCGCGGUAAUUCCAGCUCCAAUAGCGUAUAUUAAAGUUGUUGCAGUUAAAAAGCUCGUAGUUGAAUUUCGGGAUUGACACAUCGGUCGUGCCUUAAGGGGUAUGAACUGGUGUAGUCAAUUUCUCACCUUCUGGAGAACCGCGAUGCCCUUAAUUGGGUGUCGCGGGGAACCAGGACCUUUACUUUGAAAAAAUUUAGAGUGUUUAAAGCAGGCAUUUUGCUUGAAUACAUUAGCAUGGAAUAAUAAAAUAGGACGGCAUGAUUCUAUUUUGUUGGUUUCUAGGAUCACCGUAAUGAUUAAUAGGGAUAGUUGGGGGGCAUUAGUAUUCAAUUGUCAGAGGUGAAAUUCUUGGAUUUAUUGAAGACUAACUACUGCGAAAGCAUUUGCCAAGGAUGUUUUCAUUAAUCAAGAACGAAAGUUAGGGGAUCGAAGACGAUCAGAUACCGUCGUAGUCUUAACCAUAAACUAUGCCGACUAGGAAUCAGACGAUGUUAAUUUUUUUAAUGACUCGUUU